rnacentral:misc_RNA from 1 species
CGCGAUCGUGACAGACACGCAUACUUUACGCAACUCGAAACAAAAAACGAGCAAAGGCUGGAAGAAAACGAAAAGCAAAAAAAAAGAAGCGAACCACGCAUUCUCACUGGCACACUCACUCGCUUUUUUCGUUCCAACCCUCCCCUCCUCCCUCCGUUCAAACGGUUUGAAGACGUCUCUUAACAGUUGUUUGUGCUUGUACAUAUAUACAUACAUACAUAUAUACACAUAUACAUAUAUGUAUAUAUAUAUAUAUAUAUAUAUACAUAUUCACUCUCGCUCCCUUGCACAUCUCUUCUUCGCCCGUCAACAAUGCGCCGCACAGAGACGUGAUGCUCUGCUGAGAGAACUACAGAAUGUAAAAGCUCUGCUCUUUAACUUCUUUUCAGUUUUUUUUUUUGCCUUUUUUGUGUUGUGUCGUGUUUGUGUGUGCGCUCGAGUCUCCUCUGUACAGCUGAUCUGUCGGAUCCGGGAGACCUAUGCGUGUAGGCGCUGGUGGGCUUUGGUGAUGGCGGCGUUGUCCAUUUUUUUCUCCCUUGUCUCUUCUCAAGAAGACAGAUUUGCCGACGAGCACGGGCGCUGACUGAAGGCGAUCAAGUAGAAGAUGAGCAGGCAAGCGGCUAAACCUGUUGCUGUUGCCGUUCUUGCUGAUCGUGUCUUUUUUUCUCCCUCUCUCGCGCCCUUAUCUGUCAUUUUGUUCUUUUAUGUGCACUCUCGCUCUCCCACGACUCACGUGUGCGCCCCUUUUGUCUUCUGUUGUGUUUUCUGUGAAAUUCGUCGCCUGUUUUUUUUUUGUUCUUCGUUUCGGUCCUUUCCCAGUGUUCUGUGCGCUUCCCACUACCACCGCCUCUCCCCCUCUCUCUCGCUCUCUGGGAAGGGAUGGGGGCCUCGGUGGGUGUAGAGAACCGCAGCCCGAUGUGGUUUAUUUUGCUCUCCUUUCCUGUCCUCUUUUCCAUGUUUGCGUGCCGUUGCUUCGUUCGCCUUUUCCUCCAGCGAUGGCGUGCCACCGCGUGCGUAUACGUGUGUCUUCUUCGUCAGCGUCAACACCGUCUUGCGCAAGUUUGAGUGCAUGUCGGACAGGCGUGCGAGAAGACGCAGAGCACGACUUCAGCACAUACGAAGAACGGAAGGAAAAGGGGGAAGAACCCCUUCCCCCAGAAAAAAAAAAAACAGCAACACUCCGGCACUUACGCGCACCCCUUUCCUGCUCUGCAGGCCUUUCACAAGACCGAUUACUUCAUGGAUUCGCUUACGUUGAACUGAGUCUUGACAGCGCCGAAAAAACGAACCAAAAAAGAGUAAACGAAGAGGGAAGCUGCGGCAACGUUGGAGGUGCGCGAUCAGUGGUGCCGAUGGUGGUCGGAGCGGACAGAAUGGACGAGUACAUGGGGGAGUCCAAGUCUUCUCUCAGCUUCUCCGCCCCUCCGCCCCUCCUCCCCUUCUCCACUCCCCUCAGUCUGUUAUUCACCUGCACAUCUUCUCUGUUGGACCUGCUUGUUUAACAAUAACGUCCACGUGCGGAAACAAGAGAAAGAUGUCAUGCUGCGUUACAUGCGCCGCUUCUUGUGUGCAUGCAUUGACUACUGCUAAGAGCGAUAAGGAAGAAAAAGGGAAAAGGUGAGCCUAAACAGGAAAAGUCUCGACAAGAAUGAAGCAAUAUGGAAAACGCUCAGCAAACACUGCGUCGAGGGCUCAUUCAUUCCCGAUCCAGUGUCUUUCUUCGAUGCUGUUUUACUGAGCUUCUGGAUCUCUUUCUGCUUCUCUCUUGUCUAUGCUCUCUCCUCCCUAUGUGUCCUCUUCGUUGACCUGGAUGUUUUGGAGGGGUGCCCACCUCCCCUUUCACUUCGAAACAAAAG